GUCUCCGUAGCUCAGCGGACAGAGCACCGGUCUACGAAUCCGGCGGUCGGAAGUUCAAGUCUUCCCGGAGACAC
rnacentral:tRNA from 1 species